rnacentral:misc_RNA from 1 species
AUAAAAUUCUUUUCCUCUUCUUAACAUUUUUUCACCUUUUCAUCUAUCUAUUCAUUCAUAAUAAAACCAUUUCCGACAAUUUCAUGAAAUGGAUGUAUUUCGGGAAAUAACGGGUUGGUAAGUAUUAAAAUGACACAACUUCAAUAAGAUAUGAACGCGCAAGCGAAGGUCGCCGAUGAUCGACCCAUAUUAUCGCACACCGACAUUAGAGAGCACCGUGCAAGUAUUGUAUUCCUAUUUGACUACAAUAAUGGAAUGGAAUGACGAUGUGGUGUACGCUUUGACUCCCCUCAAACUCUUAUCUAUGCCAUUAGGCUACUGGCCCCUGCAGAAAAAUAAUAUGUUCGAUCUUCUGCGAUAUAGUCUGGCCGUCACCAGUUUGGCUUGGGUGUUGAUCGGCCUCACCGUCGAAAUCUAUUACAAUUGUAUCGAUCCGUACGGAAAAAUUGACGCUCUUUUGCUCUUCACGUGCACCUUUCUGGCAUUAUUGAAGAUAAUAUGGUUUCGUAGAUACGGUGACAACCUGACUAAAAAUUUCAACUCCGCCAUCAACGAUUAUCUUGCGAUCGACAGUGAGAAGAAGCGCGCCGUUAUGCGGCGGCACGCUUUUAUGGGCAGAACGAUUUGCUACGGUGUAACAUGCGUCUCUUAUCUCGCUUCGGUGUUCUACAUAUCGUUGCCUCUACUGAUGGACAAUGUUUCAGUAAACGGUUCCGCCACAGGUUUCCAAACGAAAUAUCCGAUCCCCUCGACAUGUACAUUAGGGGCCUUGGACAUUUCGACGACUUUGCAUAUUGCGCUAUAUGUGAUGCUUAGUAUUAUGUUAUUCAUCAUUGGUUCUGGCAAUGUCGGCGGUGAUUCCUUCUUCCUCGCGAUCACAUUGCAUGUGUGCGGACAAGUGGAAUUACUGCGUGCCGACUUUGUCAAUUUCGGUGUGAAAAGCUCGAAUCCAAACGAAGACUUUUUCAAGCUGGUGACGAGGCAUCAUUACCUGCUGGAUCAAGCGGUGCUGCUGACCGAAACGAUUAGCUUCGUGUUAGUGAUGCAAUUGUUCGUCAGUUGCGUUCUUAUUUCCGUAAUAGGUUUUCAAUUUAUCUUGGCGUUGAAAGUGGGCGACAUAAUCAUGAUAGUUAAAACCGGGAUAGUGCAGUGUGAUCUUUUGACACAGAUGUUUGCCUACAGCUACGUGGGAGAUUAUCUAAAGUACCAAAUCGAAGAAGUUGCACAAUCGAUUUACUGCAGCAAUUGGUAUUUCUUAUCGGUUAAAUUGAUGAGGAGCAUCACGUUCGUCAUUGCACGGUCGCAGCACCCUAUUCAGCUAGUGGCUGGCAAAUUUCUCGUCGUAAACAUGGAGACGUUUAUGAGUAUAAUAAAAACUUCUCUCUCGUAUCUAUCAGUGCUACGUGUGAUGGUGGAAACGUAGACUGAAGAUAACCGAUGAAAUACUUAAGAAGAUAAUUUCACAUCUAAGCAAUUUUGAAAAAUUGAUGCACUAACAAACUGUAUUCUGCAUAUUUCUCGGAAGAAGAAAUCUCAAAAUGGAAGAUAGACAGUAUCACAUACGUGAACGCGACGCAUCAGAAGAAAAAUAAAAUUCCUUUCCUCCUUUUAACGUUAUUUCACUUUCCCACCUAUCUGCAUUCAUGAUAAAUUUCCAUCAUUUUCAUGGAAACGGAUGUAUUUCACGAAAUAACAGAGUACAUCCGAUAAAUAUUAAAAUAGUGUAACUUGAAUAAGACAUGAACGCGCAAGCGAAGAUCGCCGAUGAUCGACCCAUAUUACGAUCGCACACCGACAUUAGUGAGUAUCGUGCAAGCAUCGUGUUCUUAUUUAACUACAAUAAUGGAAUGGAAUGAGGAUAUGGCAUACGCUAUGACUCCCCUCAAACUCUUAGCUAUGCCGUUAGGCUACUGGCCCCUGCAGGAAAAUAAUGUGCUCGAUUUACUGCGUUAUAUCAUAUGCAGCAUGAGUUUGGUACGUUUUCAUCUGUUGUCUCGUGAAUGCGUCGCGCGCAGAAGCUUCCCAUUCGUUUUUUUCUCGCGUAUAUCAAGUUGGAUUAACAGAGCGGCAAUAAAACGUAAAUGUUGAGAUUGAGUUGGUGGUUGGACACGAUAUUGAUACAAUAAA